rnacentral:rRNA from 1 species
GACGAACGCUGGCGGCGUGCUUAACACAUGCAAGUCGAACGGAAAGGCCCUGCUUUUGUGGGCUGCUCGAGUGGCGAACGGGUGAGUAACACGUGAGUAACCUGCCCUUGACUUUGGGAUAACUUCAGGAAACUGGGGUUACUACCGGAUAGCAGACCCUGCUGCAGUGUGGGGGUUGGAACGUCUCGGCGGUUGGGGCUGGAUUCGCGGCUUACCAGCUAGUUGGUGGGGGAGUGGCUUACCAAGGCUGUGAAGGAUAGGCGGCCUGGGAGGGUGGCCGGCGACAAGGGUACUACGAGAGGGAGCAGACGGCAAUGGGGGACAGUGGGGGGAAGCAUGAUCCAACGAGCGGAAGUCGGAGGCGGAAACGCCGGGGUCGGGAUGACGGCUUUCGGGUAGAGAACCGCUUUCGCCUGUGACGAAGCGUGAGUGACGGUAAUGGGAGAAGAAGCACCGGCUAACUACGUG